rnacentral:rRNA from 1 species
GAUGAACGCUGACAGAAUGCUUAACACAUGCAAGUCUACUUGAAGCUAACUUCGGUUAGUGGAUGGUGGCGGACGGGUGAGUAACGCGUAAAGAACUUGCCUCACAGAUUGGGACAACAUUUGGAAACGAAUGCUAAUACCGGAUAUUAUGAUACUUCUGCAUGGAAGAAUCAUGAAAGCUAUAUGCGCUGUGAGAGAGCUUUGCGUCCCAUUAGCUAGUUGGAGAGGUAACGGCUCACCAAGGCGAUGAUGGGUAGCCGGCCUGAGAGGGUGAACGGCCACAAGGGGACUGAGACACGGCCCUUACUCCUACGGGAGGCAGCAGUGGGGAAUAUUGGACAAUGGACCAAAAGUCUGAUCCAGCAAUUCUGUGUGCACGAUGAAGUUUUUCGGAAUGUAAAGUGCUUUCAGUUGGGAAGAAGCAAGUGACGGUACCAACAGAAGAAGCGACGGCUAAAUACGUGCCAGCAGCCGCGGUAAUACGUAUGUCGCAAGCGUUAUCCGGAUUUAUUGGGCGUAAAGCGCGUCUAGGUGGUUAUAUAAGUCUGAUGUGAAAAUGCGGGGCUCAACUCCGUAUUGCGUUGGAAACUGUAUGACUAGAGUACUGGAGAGGUAAGCGGAACUACAAGUGUAGAGGUGAAAUUCGUAGAUAUUUGUAGGAAUGCCGAUGGGGAAGCCAGCUUACUGGACAGAUACUGACGCUAAAGCGCGAAAGCGUGGGUAGCAAACAGG